rnacentral:rRNA from 1 species
GACGAACGCUGGCGGCGUGCCUAAUACAUGCAAGUCGAGCGAAUCAAUAGGAGCUUGCUCCUGUUGGUUAGCGGCGGACGGGUGAGUAACACGUGGGCAACCUGCCUGUAGGACUGGGAUAACACCGGGAAACCGGUGCUAAUACCGGAUAAUCCUUUUCCUCUCAUGAGGAAAAGUUGAAAGUCGGUUUCGGCUGACACUUACAGCUGGGCCGGCGGCGCAUUAGCUAGUUGGUGAGGUAACGGCACACCAAGGCGACGAUGCGUAGCCGACCUGAGAGGGCGAUCGGCCACACUGGGACUGAGACACGGCCCAGACUCCUACGGGAGGCAGCAGUAGGGAAUCCUCCACAAUGGACGAAAGUCUGAUGGAGCAACGCCGCGUGAGCGAUGAAGGCCUUCGGGUCAUAAAGCUCUGUUGUUAGGGAAGAACAAGUAUCGGAGUAACUGCCGGUACCUUGACGGUACCUAACCAGAAAACCACGGCUAACUACGUGCCAACCGCCGCCGUAA